rnacentral:rRNA from 1 species
UGGCGGCNGGCUUAACCCAUGCAAGUCGAACGAGACCUUCGGGUCUAGUGGCGCACGGGUGCGUAACGCGUGGGAAUCUGCCCUUUGCUACGGAAUAACUCAGAGAAAUUUGUGCUAAUACCGUAUAAUGUCGUAAGACCAAAGAUUUAUCGGCAAAGGAUGAGCCCGCGUAAGAUUAGCUUGUUGGUGAGGUAAAGGCUCACCAAGGCGACGAUCUUUAGCUGGUCUGAGAGGAUGAUCAGCCACACUGGGACUGAGACACGGCCCAGACUCCUACGGGAGGCAGCAGUGGGGAAUAUUGGACAAUGGGCGAAAGCCUGAUCCAGCAAUGCCGCGUGAGUGAUGAAGGCCUUAGGGUUGUAAAGCUC